CCUACGGGUGGCAGCAGUAGGGAAUAUUGCUCAAUGGGCGAAACCCUGAAGCAGCAACGCCGCGUGAAGGAUGAAGGUUUUAGGAUUGUAAACUCCUUUUGUUAGAGGAGAUUAUGACGGUAUCUAACGAAUAAGCACUGGCUAACUCCGUGACAGCAGCCGCGGUAAUACGGAGGGUGCAAGCGUUACUCGGAAUCACUGGGCGUAAAGAGUGCGUAGGCGGGGUAAUAAGUCAGAUGUGAAAUCCUGUAGCUUAACUACAGAACUGCAAUUGAAACUGUUACUCUGGAGUGCGGGAGAGGUAGGUGGAAUUCUUGGUGUAGGGGUAAAAUGCGUAGAGAUCAAGAGGAAUACCGAUUGCGAAGGCGACCUGCUGGACCAUCACUGACGUUGAUGCACGAAAGCGUGGGGAGCAAACAGGAUUAGAUACCCGGGUAGUC
rnacentral:rRNA from 1 species